rnacentral:rRNA from 1 species
GACGAACGCUGGCGGCGUGCCUAAUACAUGCAAGUAGAACGCUGAAGGAGGAGCUUGCUCUUCUGGAUGAGUUGCGAACGGGUGAGUAACGCGUAGGUAACCUGCCUGGUAGCGGGGGAUAACUCUUGGAAACGAUAGCUAAUACCGCAUAAGAGUAGAUGUUGCAUGACAUUUGCUUAAAAGGUGCAAUUGCAUCACUACCAGAUGGACCUGCGUUGUAUUAGAUAGUUGGUGGGGUAACGGCUCACCAAGGCGACGAUACAUAGCCGACCUGAGAGGGUGAUCGGCCACACUGGGACUGAGACACGGCCCAGACUCCUACGGGAGGCAGCAGUAGGGAAUCUUCGGCAAUGGGCGGAAGUCUGACCGAGCAACGCCGCGUGAGUGAAGAAGGUUUUCGGAUCGUAAAGCUCUGUUGUAAGAGAAGAACGAGUGUGAGAGUGGAAAGUUCACACUGUGACGGUAUCUUACCAGAAAGGGACGGCUAACUACGU